rnacentral:rRNA from 1 species
GACGAACGCUGGCGGCGUGCUUAACACAUGCAAGUCGAACGGAAAGGCCCUGCUUUUGUGGGGUGCUCGAGUGGCGAACGGGUGAGUAACACGUGAGUAACCUGCCCUUGACUUUGGGAUAACUUCAGGAAACUGGGGCUAAUACCGGAUAGGCGCUCCUGCUGCAUGGUGGUGGUUGGAAAGUUUCGGCGGUUGGGGAUGGACUCGCGGCUUAUCAGCUUGUUGGUGGGGUAGUGGCUUACCAAGGCUUUGACGGGUAGCCGGCCUGAGAGGGUGACCGGCCACAUUGGGACUGAGAUACGGCCCAGACUCCUACGGGAGGCAGCAGUGGGGAAUAUUGCACAAUGGGCGGAAGCCUGAUGCAGCAACGCCGCGUGCGGGAUGACGGCCUUCGGGUUGUAAACCGCUUUCGCCUGUGACGAAGCGUGAGUGACGGUAAUGGGUAAAGAAGCACCGGCUAACUACGUG